UACGAAGGGGGCUAGCGUUGCUCGGAAUCACUGGGCGUAAAGGGUGCGUAGGCGGGUUCUUAAGUCAGAGGUGAAAUCCUGGAGCUCAACUCCAGAACUGCCUUUGAUACUGAGAGUCUUGAGUUCGGGAGAGGUGAGUGGAACUGCGAGUGUAGAGGUGAAAUUCGUAGAUAUUCGCAAGAACACCGGUGGCGAAGGCGGCGACCUGGGACAAUACUGACGCUGAGGUGCGAAAGCGUGGGGAGCAAACAGG
rnacentral:rRNA from 1 species